UGCCUUUAUGUGUUGCCCUCUCAUUGUUUCCCUAGUGAUUGGGGUGUCAAAUAAGGCAUACAGCGACUCCUGUGGUUGUCUGUGAAUUGAGCUCCGAGUGGCUCCUUAACUGAAACAGCUGCAAGCACAUGU
ensembl:snoRNA small nucleolar RNA SNORA13